GGGCUUGCAAUCUUCCCCUGGAAUUGAGGAAGGGAAUUCCUGUUUCUGUGUUUAUAGUAUCAUUGCAUGUUGCCAUGGCAAGUGUGUGAUACUGCAAGUUCAGCAUUAUCAUGUUAGUGAUGGACAAGGGAGGUAAAAAAUGGGUUUAGAUGAAAAUAAACUUCAUUCACAA